rnacentral:rRNA from 1 species
AGAGUUUGAUCCUGGCUCAGAUUGAACGCUGGCGGAAUGCUUACACAUGCAAGUCGAACGGCAGCACGGGGCAACCUGGUGGCGAGUGGCGAACGGGUGAGUAAUACAUCGGAACGUGCCCAAUCGUGGGGGAUAACGUAGCGAAAGUUACGCUAAUACCGCAUACGAUCUACGGAUGAAAGCGGGGGAUCGCAAGACCUCGCGCGAAUGGAGCGGCCGAUGUCAGAUUAGGUAGUUGGUGGGGUAAAGGCUCACCAAGCCAACGAUCUGUAGCUGGUCUGAGAGGACGACCAGCCACACUGGAACUGAGACACGGUCCAGACUCCUACGGGAGGCAGCAGUGGGGAAUUUUGGACAAUGGGCGCAAGCCUGAUCCAGCCAUUCCGCGUGCAGGAUGAAGGCCUUCGGGUUGUAAACUGCUUUUGUACGGAACGAAACGGCGAGCUCUAAUACAGUUUGCUAAUGACGGUACCGUAAGAAUAAGCACCGGCUAACUACGUG